rnacentral:lncRNA from 10 species
CAAGAACAGAGCCCAGCAAGAAGUGCAGGCGGCCGGCUGGUUUUUCUCUCCCACCUUCCUUAAGCCUGAGGCAGAGCAUGGCCCACAAGGAAAGUGGAGUCUGUGUCAUGGGCCAAGUCUUACUCCUCAAAACAGUGUGAUGACUCUGUAUGGAGAGCUCUGUGUGAAUACUGAAGCUCCAUAGCUGAUAGCUGUCGGUGUAAGCCUACUGUCACUGUCUAAAAAUAACCAUCACUGUCUAAAAAUACCGUCACUGUCUAAAAAUACCAUCACUGUAUCGAUAGCUGUCUGUAAAUACUGGAACUCUGUGGAGCACGCUCUGUAAAUACUGGAACUCUAUUGCUAGCUGUAAACGGUGUAACUCAGUAUAACUAUACCGUAACUCUAAAAAUACCAUAACUAUGUGUCGACAGCUGCCUAUAAAUGCUAUAACUGUAUUGGUAGCUAUGUAUAAGCAGCCUACUCUGUAUCAAUAGCUGUCUGUUAGAAAGCUGACAUCACAUUGUUGAUCUAAAGCAAGCUUGUCCAACCUGCGGCCCGUGGGCCACAUGCAGCCCGGGACGGCUUUGAAUGCUGCCCAACACCAAUUCAUAAACUUUCUUAAAAUGUUACGAGAU